UGCCAGUGAGGAGCAAGUAUCCUGUCUAGUCCCCAGAGCAAAUAAUGGUGAACCCACUGGGAUUACAGAGAAAGAUGAAAAUGUUCCAUCAAAGCUGUCUAGCAU
rnacentral:snoRNA from 1 species